ACGGGUGAGUAACGCGUGGGUAACCUGCCUUAUACAGGGGGAUAACAGUUAGAAAUGACUGCUAAUACCGCAUAAGCGCACAGGAUUGCAUGAUCUGGUGUGAAAAACUCCGGUGGUAUAAGAUGGACCCGCGUCUGAUUAGCUGGUUGGUGAGGUAACGGCCCACCAAGGCGACGAUCAGUAGCCGACCUGAGAGGGUGACCGGCCACAUUGGGACUGAGACACGGCCCAAACUCCUACGGGAGGCAGCAUG
rnacentral:rRNA from 1 species